rnacentral:rRNA from 1 species
GUGUACGUACAAGCAGUGGGAGCACCCUUUGGGUGUGACUGCGUACCUUUUGUAUAAUGGGUCAGCGACUUAUAUUCUGUAGCAAGGUUAACCGAAUAGGGGAGCCGGAGGGAAACCGAGUCUUAACCGGGCGUUAAGUUGCAGGGUAUAGACCCGAAACCCGGUGAUCUAGCCAUGGGCAGGUUGAAGGUUGGGUAACACUAACUGGAGGACCGAACCGACUAAUGUUGAAAAAUUAGCGGAUGACCUGUGGCUGGGGGUGAAAGGCCAAUCAAACCGGGAGAUAGCUGGUUCUCCCCGAAAGCUAUUUAGGUAGCGCCUCGUGAAUUCAUCUCCGGGGGUAGAGCACUGUUUCGGCUAGGGGGCCAUCCCGGCUUACCAACCCGAUGCAAACUGCGAAUACCGGAGAAUGUUAUCACGGGAGACACACGGCGGGUGCUAACGUCCGUCGUGAAGAGGGAAACAACCCAGACCGCCAGCUAAGGUCCCAAAGUCAUGGUUAAGUGGGAAACGAUGUGGGAAGGCCCAGACAGCCAGGAUGUUGGCUUAGAAGCAGCCAUCAUUUAAAGAAAGCGUAAUAGCUCACUGGUCGAGUCGGCCUGCGCGGAAGAUGUAACGGGGCUAAACCAUGCACCGAAGCUGCGGCAGCGACACUGUGUGUUGUUGGGUAGGGGAGCGUUCUGUAAGCCUGUGAAGGUGUGUCGUGAGGCAUGCUGGAGGUAUCAGAAGUGCGAAUGCUGACAUAAGUAACGAUAAAGCGGGUGAAAAGCCCGCUCGCCGGAAGACCAAGGGUUCCUGUCCAACGUUAAUCGGGGCAGGGUGAGUCGACCCCUAAGGCGAGGCCGAAAGGCGUAGUCGAUGGGAAACGGGUUAAUAUUCCCGUACUUGGUGUUACUGCGAAGGGGGGACGGAGAAGGCUAUGUUGGCCGGGCGACGGUUGUCCCGGUUUAAGCGUGUAGGUGUGUGUUCCAGGUAAAUCCGGUUCACUUUAACACUGAGGCGUGACGACGAGGCACUACGGUGCUGAAGCAACAAAUGCCCUGCUUCCAGGAAAAGCCUCUAAGCAUCAGGUAACAUCAAAUCGUACCCCAAACCGACACAGGUGGUCAGGUAGAGAAUACCAAGGCGCUUGAGAGAACUCGGGUGAAGGAACUAGGCAAAAUGGUGCCGUAACUUCGGGAGAAGGCACGCUGACACGUAGGUGAAGUGAUUUACUCAUGGAGCUGAAGUCAGUCGAAGAUACCAGCUGGCUGCAACUGUUUAUUAAAAACACAGCACUGUGCAAACACGAAAGUGGACGUAUACGGUGUGACGCCUGCCCGGUGCCGGAAGGUUAAUUGAUGGGGUCAGCGCAAGCGAAGCUCCUGAUCGAAGCCCCGGUAAACGGCGGCCGUAACUAUAACGGUCCUAAGGUAGCGAAAUUCCUUGUCGGGUAAGUUCCGACCUGCACGAAUGGCGUAAUGAUGGCCAGGCUGUCUCCACCCGAGACUCAGUGAAAUUGAACUCGCUGUGAAGAUGCAGUGUACCCGCGGCAAGACGGAAAGACCCCGUGAACCUUUACUAUAGCUUGACACUGAACAUUGAGCCUUGAUGUGUAGGAUAGGUGGGAGGCUUUGAAGUGUGGACGCCAGUCUGCAUGGAGCCGACCUUGAAAUACCACCCUUUAAUGUUUGAUGUUCUAACGUGGACCCGUUACCCGGGUUGCGGACAGUGUCUGGUGGGUAGUUUGACUGGGGCGGUCUCCUCCUAAAGAGUAACGGAGGAGCACGAAGGUUGGCUAAUCCUGGUCGGACAUCAGGAGGUUAGUGCAAUGGCAUAAGCCAGCUUGACUGCGAGCGUGACGGCGCGAGCAGGUGCGAAAGCAGGUCAUAGUGAUCCGGUGGUUCUGAAUGGAAGGGCCAUCGCUCAACGGAUAAAAGGUACUCCGGGGAUAACAGGCUGAUACCGCCCAAGAGUUCAUAUCGACGGCGGUGUUUGGCACCUCGAUGUCGGCUCAUCACAUCCUGGGGCUGAAGUAGGUCCCAAGGGUAUGGCUGUUCGCCAUUUAAAGUGGUACGCGAGCUGGGUUUAGAACGUCGUGAGACAGUUCGGUCCCUAUCUGCCGUGGGCGCUGGAGAACUGAGGGGGGCUGCUCCUAGUACGAGAGGACCGGAGUGGACGCAUCACUGGUGUUCGGGUUGUCAUGCCAAUGGCACUGCCCGGUAGCUAAAUGCGGAAGAGAUAAGUGCUGAAAGCAUCUAAGCACGAAACUUGCCCCGA